UACGUAGGGUGCAAGCGUUAAUCGGAAUUACUGGGCGUAAAGCGUGCGCAGGCGGUUUUGUAAGCCAGAUGUGAAAUCCCCGGGCUUAACCUGGGAAUGGCAUUUGGGACUGCAAGGCUGGAGUUUGGCAGAGGAGACUGGAAUUCCUGGUGUAGCAGUGAAAUGCGUAGAUAUCAGGAUGAACACCGAUGGCGAAGGCAGGUCUCUGGGCUGAAACUGACGCUCAUGCACGAAAGCGUGGGGAGCAAACAGG
rnacentral:rRNA from 1 species